GAUGAACGCUGGCGGCGUGCCUAACACAUGCAAGUCGAACGAAGCUUGACGGAUGAUUUCUUCGGAAUGAAACCAGAUAUGACUUAGUGGCGGACGGGUGAGUAACACGUGAGCAACCUGCCUUUCAGAGGGGGAUAACGGCUGGAAACGGUCCCUAAUACCGCAUGAUGUGUUCGGAUGGCAUCAUCUGAACAUCAAAGAUUUAUCGCUGAAAGAUGGGCUCGCGUCUGAUUAGAUAGUUGGUGGGGUAACGGCCUACCAAGUCUACGAUCAGUAGCCGGACUGAGAGGAUGAACGGCCACGUUGGGACUGAGAUACGGCCCAGACUCCUACGGGAGGCAGCAGUGGGGAAUAUUGCACAAUGGGGGAAACCCGGAUGCAGCAACGCCGCGUGAAGGAUGACGGUUUUCGGAUUGUAAACAUCUUUUCUUAGUGACGAAGACAGUGACGGUAGCUAAGGAAUAAGCAUCGGCUAACUACGUG
rnacentral:rRNA from 1 species